rnacentral:rRNA from 1 species
UCUCAGUUCGGAUUGGAGUCUGNAACCCGACUCCAUGAAGCUGGAUUCGCUAGUAAUCGCGCAUCAGCCACGGCGCGGUGAAUACGUUCCCGGGCCUUGUACACACCGCCCGUCAAGCCAUGGGAGCCGGGGGUGCUUGAAGUGCGUCGCCGCAAGGCGCGCCCUAGAGCAAAACCGGUGACUGGGGCUAAGUCGUAACAAGGUAGC